rnacentral:rRNA from 1 species
AUUGAACGCUGGCGGCAUGCCUUACACAUGCAAGUCGAGCGGGGUGAUGGUGCUUGCACUAUCACUUAGCGGCGGACGGGUGAGUAAUGCUUAGGAAUCUGCCUAUUAGUGGGGGACAACAUCUCGAAAGGGAUGCUAAUACCGCAUACGUCCUACGGGAGAAAGCAGGGGAUCACUUGUGACCUUGCGCUAAUAGAUGAGCCUAAGUCGGAUUAGCUAGUUGGUGGGGUAAAGGCCUACCAAGGCGACGAUCUGUAGCGGGUCUGAGAGGAUGGUCCGACACACUGGGACUGAGACACGGCCCAGACUCCUACGGGAGGCAGCAGUGGGGAAUAUUGGACAAUGGGAGGAACCCUGAUCCAGCCAUGCCGCGUGUGUGAAGAAGGCCUUAUGGUUGUAAAGCACUUUAAGCGAGGAGGAGGCUCUUUUGGUUAAUACCCAAGAUGAGUGGACGUUACUCGCAGAAUAAGCACCGGCUAACUCUGUGCCAGCCGCCGCGGUAA